GAUGAAGAACGCAGCGAAAUGCGAUAAGUAAUGUGAAUUGCAGAAUUCAGUGAAUCAUCGAAUCUUUGAACGCACAUUGCGCCCCCUGGUAUUCCGGGGGGCAUGCCUGUUCGAGCGUCAUUACAACCCUCAAGCUCUGCUUGGUAUUGGGCCCCGCCAGUUCUGGCGGGCCCUAAAGUCAGUGGCGGUGCCUACCGGCUCCGAGCGUAGUAAUUCUUCUCGCUCUGGAGACCCGGUUGUGUGCUUGCCAACAACCCCCAAUUUUUUAAGGUUGACCUCGGAUCAGGUAGGGAUACCCGCUGAACUUAAGCAUAUCAAUAAGCGGAGGA
rnacentral:misc_RNA from 1 species